CCUACGGGGGGCAGCAGUGGGGAAUAUUGGACAAUGGGGGAAACCCUGAUCCAGCGACGCCGCGUGAGUGAAGAAGUAUUUCGGUACGUAAAGCUCUAUCAGCAGGAAAGAAAAUGACGGUACCUGACUAAGAAGCCACGGCUAACUACGUGCCAGCAGCCGCGGUAAUACGUAGGGGGCAAGCGUUAUCCGGAUGUACUGGGGGUAAAGGGAGCGUAGACGGCAGCGCAAGUCUGGAGUGAAAUGCCGGGGCCCAACCCCGGAACUGCUCUGGAAACUGUGGAGCUUGAGUGCAGGAGAGGUAAGCGGAAUUCCUGGUGUAGCGGUGAAAUGCGUAGAUAUCAGGAGGAACACCGGCGGCGAAGGCGGCUUACUGGACUGUAACUGACGUUGAGGCUCGAAGGCGUGGGGAGCGAACAGGAUUAGAUACCCGUGUAGUC
rnacentral:rRNA from 1 species